GAUCUGCGGGCGCUCACCACGAUAACAGCUCUAUUAUUAUCCAUCGUUCAAUCAGUUUUCUCAAAUUACUGCUACUCGUGUAUGAGUAUAAGAACGCACAGCAACUCUACAGCCUAUAAAGUACCAAACAAUAUUGAUGAUAGCUGUGAAGAUGAAACUAAUUUAACAGACGUCAUUGAAUGCAACGGAGGGUGUAUGGUUAUGAAUGCAACCUUUAUGUACUCCUAUGACUUGUAUGGUGAUGUGAUGACACAAUUCUUCGUUCGAUCCUGCGGUUACGAUCUCGACCGAUGUCUCGACGAUCAGGAGAUCGACCCGUUACUCAGAGAAUACGAAAAGGACAUCAGCGCCGGCGUCGAAAAUGGGACAUUUGUCGGCUUCACAGGCUAUGUCUGUUUCUGCAAAGGAACAAACUGCAAUAACGGGAAUUCACUUAGCCAAAACCCAGUCCCUCUCGUUGCGUUUAGUGUUUUAGUUUUAAUUUGUCAAUUUCUUGUAUUUCUAACUUGAAUGGUGAUAUUGACGUCAAUGGGUGCUCAAACAUUGUAUUGAACGCUGAUUAAUGUCGAGUCUUAGGCGCGUAUUCUUAAGUCAGGUUUAAUUGAAAGUCUGGUCUAAAUUAGUGGGUCAACUAUGGAAAGCCAAUUGUAAUAGAGGUUUCUAGGAAGUGAAGUUGAAAAUUUUCAGCUUAUUUGGCACACUAAUCAUUCAAAACAUGUUUGAGAAUAUUGGUUUAAAAAGGGUUUUUUACCAUUCAUGCAUAUCAUAAAGAACAUAAGAAGCGUAUAAUGUAAUAAUCCUGUCAUUUUUUCUGGCUUUUCAUAAUUAAAUACUGACUUAGAACAUAAACCUGACUUCAGAAUACGGGCCUUAGUCACCCGGGCGAAAUCGACACCAGUCCGAGUACGUUUAAGUCAUAUUAGCAUCAGAUUUCUUGUGCAUGGAAAUGGGAAAUUGAUCAUCAUUUGCUGAUCCCAGACUCUGUUAAACGCAUUGAAAAUACCUUUAAUAUAGACAUCUCUUUGGGGGAAGCAGACUUGGUGUAUCAACGAGGGAGAAAAAAUGUUAAUAUUCAUGAUUAUUUCAAAAAGUUGAAAAUUCAUUAAUGAUUUACUUAAUUGUUAACUAAAAUAUUGCGACGGUAAUUACGAUUUUUUUAUUUUUCAUAAUUAUUUGCCGAUGAUUCAGUCCACAGAUAUAAGGAAACAGAUAAAAAAUGUAAAAGAUGAGAACAAUUUUAGAAAUGUUAUUAAUUUUUAAAAUUAUUGGUAUUAGAAAUUACUAUCUUUCUUUCUCAAUUAUUACAAUCAUCAUUUUUCUUUACUUGUUAAUCAAACUCUUUUUUUUUUCAAUUUGAGCCAUUUCGUUACCUCAAUUUACAACCACUCUGCGAUGAAUGAACUGUAUUAGAUAUUACCCUAUGAGAGUUUAUAUUUUGCAAUAUGAACAUGAUGAAUAAGAAAAAUGCAUGCAUGAUGUUUAUAUCUAUGUAUAUUA